UCUCUUCUCUUGUCUGCCGCCAUGUGAUAUGUGCACUUCACCUUCUGCCAUGAUUGUGAGGUCUCCCCAGCCACGUGAAACUAGUUUUAGGAGUUUUCUACAUAUUAAGGAUACUAAUUCCUGAUCACAUACACAACUUGCAACUAUUUUCUCCCAUCUAGAGUCUCGCUGUGUCACCCAGGCUGGAGUGCAGUGGUGUGAUCUUGGCUUACUGCAACCUCUGCCUCCCAGGUUCAAGUGAUUCUCCUGCCUCAGCCUCCCAAGUACCUGGGACUACAGAUCUUUAGAUAAGCACUCUUUCAACCAAAUGCCAAUCAGAAAAUCUUUGAAUCCACCUGUGAGCUGGAAGCCCCGCUGUGCUUUGUGUUGUCCUGCCUUUUCGGACCAAUGUAAAUCUCACAUGUACUGAUUGAUGCCUACAUCUCCUUAAAACGUAUAAAAUCAAGCUGUAACCCAACCACCUUGGGCAUGUGUUCUGAGGACCUCUUGAGGCUGUGUCACUGGUCAUGAUCCUUAACCUUGGCAACAUAAACUUCUAAACUGAUUGA
rnacentral:lncRNA from 1 species